AAAUUUAAAGAAAAAAAGAAUUUUUUAUGAAGACAAAGGGAAAUGUGACAGCAGCCAGACAUGAAGCAGCGCAGAGGAACAACAUUCUUUUUGAUGUCUGGUCAUCAGAAAAAUCCGAUCAUUUCUUUCAUUCUGAAAGUGAGUUUAAAGAUCAUCUGAUCCAAUCGUUUUGUUGUACAGAAAGGAAGAUGAAGGCAAAGAGAGGUUAAACCACCUGCCUAAAUCCACACAACUCAUCCAUAGCAGACCACAAUACUGGUCUCCAAACCCAGCCUCCCUUCCACUCUACUGCCAUGGCUUUUUCUGAUGGAGAAGUUCCAGCUGGUCUUCCUACAAAACAGUGGUCCCCAGCCUGUCUCUACCUUCACACACCUGGUCCUCAUCCACUCUCACCACAGGUGGAGAUAACUGCUGAUGCAGGGAGAGGGCUAAGCAGCUGAAAAAGCACCUCAGGAGAUUCUACCACACCUACUCUCACCCCGAAGUGUGUCCAAGAGGGAAUCGCUGCUGUAAGGCGUUAAGACCAACAAAGAAGGAAAAGGAAAAAAAAAAAAAAAAAAA